rnacentral:rRNA from 1 species
CCUACGGGAGGCAGCAGUGAGGAAUAUUUGUCAAUGGACGCAAGUCUGAACCAGCCAUGCCGCGUGCAGGAAGACGGCUCUAUGAGUUGUAAACUGCUUUUGUACGAGGGUAAACGCAGAUACGCGUAUCUGUCUGAAAGUAUCGUACGAAUAAGGAUCGGCUAACUCCGUGCCAGCAGCCGCGGUAAUACGGAGGAUUCAAGCGUUAUCCGGAUUUAUUGGGUUUAAAGGGUGUGUAGGCGGUCGGAUAAGUUAGAGGUGAAAUCCCGAGGCUCAACGUCGGAAUUGCCUCUGAUACUGUUCGGCUAGAGAGUAGUAGCGGUAGGCGGAAUGUAUGGUGUAGCGGUGAAAUGCUUAGAGAUCAUACAGAACACAGAUUGCGAAGGCAGCUUACUAAGCUACUUCUGACGUUGAGGCACGAAAGCGUGGGGAGCAAACAGGAUUAGAUACCCGGGUAGUC